GUGCUCACUCCGGCAGUGCAUACUAAAACUGAAACGAUACAGAGAAGAUGAGCCUGGCCCCUGUGCAAGGACGAUACGCAAAUUCGUGACGCAUUCCAUAGUUUU
ensembl:snRNA U6 U6 spliceosomal RNA